GACGAACGCUGGCGGCGUGCUUAACACAUGCAAGUCGAACGGAAAGGCCCUUCGGGGUACUCGAGUGGCGAACGGGUGAGUAACACGUGGGUGAUCUGCCCUGCACUUUGGGAUAAGCCUGGGAAACUGGGUCUAAUGCCGAAUAGGACCACGCGCUUCAUGGUGUGUGGUGGAAAGCUUUUGCGGUGUGGGAUGGGCCCGCGGCCUAUCAGCUUGUUGGUGGGGUAAUGGCCUACCAAGGCGACGACGGGUAGCCGGCCUGAGAGGGUGACCGGCCACACUGGGACUGAGAUACGGCCCAGACUCCUACGGGAGGCAGCAGUGGGGAAUAUUGCACAAUGGGCGCAAGCCUGAUGCAGCGACGCCGCGUGAGGGAUGACGGCCUUCGGGUUGUAAACCUCUUUCACCAGGGACGAAGCGUAAGUGACGGUACCUGGAGAAGAAGCACCGGCCAACUACGUG
rnacentral:rRNA from 1 species